AUCCACCAAUGAAAGUGGGAUUCUAUUGUAAUCCUCCGGUGGCUGCUGUUCCUAUCCUUCCUCUCUCUUUUUCUCUCUUUCUUUUUGUGAAUCACAGCAGAGAGGAUUAACCUUAUCUCCAAUACAUCCAUGUUUUUUCUCUUCCCUACUGCAGCCCAUUAAGAGAUAUAUACUGCACAACGGAUUGUUUCCUGUUGGCAAAAAGGACUGAGGAUAUAUUCCAGCCUGGACUUUUUGUGUGACGGAAUGAGCAAAAAAGACGGAUACAUGAUGGCUGUGGCUGAGCUGCAAGACAGUGGAGCAGUAUGGACAGGCUACAAGGUUGAAACCAUUGGAUGGCUCCAGGCCUAGAGUGUAUCCUGAUAAGUUGCUAUGGUCACAUCAUCUGCUGCAGGACAAAGAGGUACAGGUGGCUUUGCAGUUUGUCUUCAUCAGUUCUUCACUACAGCUGGACAUUCCUAGCAGUACAUCACAGUCCGUG